AUGGCGGCCGCGGCCGCCGAGGUGGCGGCGCUGCGGCUGUCGCGGCAGGAGCAGGAGCUGCGCUGGCUGACGGCAGAGGUCGGCCGACUGAAGGAGCAGGAGGCGCCGUGCCGUCCCGGGAGCUGCAGCCCCGAGCUGCAGCGGCUGAGGGCCGAGAACGAGAAGCUGCGCUACCGCCUCCUGCACCUCCGCCGCAGCCUGGCGGCCGAGCUGGGCAAGGCGGCGCCGGCGGAGCAGCGGCCGCCGGGCCCCGCGGCGGCGGAGCCCCCGGCCGGCGGCGAGAAAGUCUCCAGAGCAAGUCCAAUUGUUGCAGUGAGUCAAAAUAAAGAGAAAAAAGAAAAUGAAGCUGUGAACCGACAUCGAAAUGAUCUACAGUGUGAGCCAAGCUUCAUAGAAGACAGACUGAAGCUUUACGAAGCACUGAAAAAAGAACAUGAUGCUUUGCUAGCUUAUAGAGCGGCCAACCAGAGCAAACCUAUCAAAAUUAUUCUGACAGAUGGAAAGAUGGCUGAAGGGGAAUCUUGGAAAACCACGCCAUAUCAAUUAGCUGUAGGAAUUAGUCAAGUGUUGGCUUCAAAUGCAGUCAUAGCCAAAGUGAAUGGUGAAUUGUGGGACCUGGAUCGUCCGCUGGAGGGCGAUUGUGCUCUGGAGCUGCUUAUGUUUGAUAAUGAAGAAGCAAAAGCUGUUUAUUGGCAUUCAAGCGCUCAUAUUCUUGGAGAGGCCAUGGAAGGUUAUUUUGGGGGCUGCUUAUGCUAUGGACCACCAAUUGAGAACGGAUUUUAUUAUGACAUGUAUAUUGAAGAUAGAGGUGUAUCUAGUACUGAAUUCCCACUACUAGAGAACUGCUGUAAAAAUAUCAUAAAAGAGAAGCAGGCUUUUGAAAGACUGGAAGUCAAAAAGGAGAUCCUGUUAGACAUGUUUAAGUAUAACAAGUUUAAGUGUCGUAUCCUUAAUGAGAAGGUGAACACACCAACUACCACAAUAUACAGAUGUGGUCCGCUGAUCGAUCUCUGCAGGGGUCCACAUGUGAGACAUACUGGAAAAAUUAAGGCCCUUAAGAUAUUUAAGAAUUCCUCUACGUAUUGGGAAGGAAAAUCUGACAUGGAAACUCUGCAGAGAAUAUAUGGAAUAUCCUUUCCUGAUAACAAAAUGAUGAAGGAAUGGGAAAAAUUCCAGGAAGAAGCCAGAAACCGGGACCAUAGGAAAAUUGGAAAGGAGCAAGAACUCUUCUUCUUUCAUGAUUUGAGUCCUGGAAGCUGCUUUUUCCUCCCCAGAGGUGCCUUUCUUUAUAACACACUUGUGGAUUUCAUACGAGAGGAAUAUCACAAGCGUAAUUUUACUGAAGUUGUAUCUCCAAACAUCUUCAACAGUAAACUCUGGGAAGCUUCAGGACAUUGGCAGCACUACAGUGAAAAUAUGUUCUCUUUCGAGAUAGAGAAGGAAACUUUUGCCCUUAAACCGAUGAAUUGUCCAGGACACUGCUUGAUGUUUGCCCAUCGUCCACGAUCCUGGAGGGAAAUGCCACUUAGGCUUGCAGAUUUUGGAGUUCUUCACCGAAAUGAACUCUCUGGGACUUUAAGUGGCUUGACUCGUGUAAGGCGCUUCCAACAAGAUGAUGCUCACAUCUUUUGCACAAUAGAACAGAUUGAAGAAGAAAUUAAGGGCUGUCUUGAUUUCUUGAAGUCUGUGUAUGCUGUCUUUGGUUUUACCUUUCAACUACAUCUUUCUACAAGACCAGAAAAUUACCUAGGAGAGCUAGAGAUCUGGGAUCAUGCAGAAAAGCAACUUCAAAACAGCUUGAAUAACUUUGGAGAGCAAUGGAAUUUGAAUCCAGGAGAUGGAGCAUUUUAUGGUCCUAAGAUUGAUAUUAAAAUCAAAGACGCUAUUGGCAGGUACCAUCAAUGUGCUACUAUCCAACUUGACUUCCAACUACCCAUUCGAUUUAAUCUUACUUAUGUUGGUAAGGAUGGCGAUGAUAAGAAAAGGCCAGUGAUUAUUCACAGAGCUAUUUUGGGAUCUGUGGAGAGAAUGAUAGCUAUUCUAGCAGAAAAUUAUGGAGGAAAAUGGCCAUUCUGGCUGUCGCCACGGCAGGUCAUGGUUGUGCCUGUGGGACCUACUUCUGAAGAGUAUGCCCGGCAGGUUUGCAGCGAGUUUUUUGAAGCAGGAUUUAUGUCAGAUGUGGAUCUAGAUCAAAGUUGCACAUUAAACAAGAAAAUUAGAAAUGCACAGCUGGCCCAGUAUAACUUUAUCUUAGUGGUUGGAGAAAAGGAGAAAGCAAAUAAUGCUGUCAACGUGCGAACAAGAGACAACAAAGUUCAUGGAGAAAUUUCAGUAUCUUCUGCUAUUGAAAAACUCAAGAAACUUAAGAGUUCACAUAUUCCAAAUGCAGAAGAAGAAUUCUGAUGUUGCUGUUAGGAAAAAAAAUUAUUAGCUGCCCAUGUGAAACGGUGUUUCUUUCCUCUUGUACAACAGUAAUGCUCAUCUGAGAGAAUUUUCAGUUAAUGGAUACACAAAAUAAGCAAAUGUAGCAAUGUUGGUGCUCCAGGAAUAGCAUGAGAGGACAGAUGCAACUGCCAACUCCUUUGACAAUCCCAUGGGAUUCCAAUCUGCGUGAGUCGCAGAAUGCUUAUUUAAAAAGUCCUACAGCUCUGCUAAAAUAUGUUGGUUUUGCUGUGGAAAUAAAUUGGGGCUGCACGAAGUCAAGGAACAGGAGGCUGGGAAGUGUACUGGCUGCUGCUGUGAUUGCUGAGCUACCUCAGUCACGUAGCGGUUGCGUAACUGAUGUGACCUGGAAUCCAAAGCUUGACAGUUGGCUACAAAUACACUGGUGUCUUUGUUGGAAAUCUCACUGAAACAAAGCACUGAUUGAGUUGGUGUGAUGAUUGGUUGCUGUAAAGGUGAUUGCCAAGAAUGAAGUUGAAUUACUUACCAUAUCCGUGUGUGGAAAGUGUUUUAUUUUUUCCUGUGUUUGCUGUUGAUUUGGCUUUUUCCUAAAACAAACCUUUGAGAAUACUUUCUGUGUGUAAUUUAUUGCUCUAUUUGCUUGGGAUGCUGAGAACGCUGAAAAGGUGCAAAUGACAUUUUCAUUUUGAAACACAGCAUGUUGAAAUUUAAAUUGGCCAUAUUCGUCUGACUUGUUUAUGCUUAUAAAUGAUUUUAAAGUUAC